AACGGUCUAUACCUGCGGUACCUGCGGAAGGAUCAUUACCGAGUUUACAACUCCCAAACCCCUGUGAACUUAUACCUUUACUGUUGCUUCGGCGGGUCAUUGCCCCGGGGAAACAGGUGCCGCCAGGUCCCUGCCCCCCCGGAAACAGGCGCCCGCCGGGGGACUCAAACUCUUCUGUAUUUUUUGUUUACUGUAUACUGUCUGAGUAAAAAUUCAUAAUGAAUCAAAACUUUUAACAAU
rnacentral:misc_RNA from 1 species